AAUGAUCUGCAUCCUGGACUUUACCCUGAGAACUGUACCCACGGUUCUUCUCAAGGGAGCAACAUUUUAGAAAGGUCUCUCUGGCUGCCAUGUGGAAAACGGACGGUGGAGACAGGACGGAGUGCAGCCAGCCAGGCCAGAAGGGGCGGUGGCCCGGGAGGGGCAGGGGGCAGGCAGAGGAGCUGCUGGGCGAGCCUUAAGAAGCAGAGUCAGAGUGCCAGGGAGCGGCAGACCCUACAGGCUGGCCACACCGAUGCCCUGGCCGGCUCCUUUCUCCUGGGCCCCCCAAUCCUAGAGCCUGGAAAAGCCAGGUUCCCAAUCUCCCCUACAGAGGUGACCGCGGGACACAGAUCUAGCCAGAGACUUAAGGAGAAGUCUGCUUUUGCUUUCUCGACAAAAGGGCCCACGGGAGCUAGAGCCAGGCCUUCUUCCCGCCCUGCACACGGCCAUGAGGCCAGACCUGUGGCAGCCGUCUUGCGAAAAUGAGGCAAUAAGUGCGGAAUGAAAGCCAACUCGCCCACGAUGGGGGAGCAGAAAGGCAGCAACCGCCCAGAUGAAGAGACCACAGUGCGGCCUCCUUGCAGCUGAGAGCAACCUAUGCAGUGUCAGAUGCUACUGGGUGGGGCUACCUGCAAAGUUCUAGAAAGGCCAUCACAUGUGCCACUGUCAAUCCUUAAGCCAAUGGCAUGAAGUAAGUACAGACGAGAAAACUGAAGACCUGACAGAUUAAGCAACUUUCCCAGGGCCGCAGAGCCACAGAGUGACAGAUGAAGACGUUGGUUGCACAGUCCUGCUCCAGAGCCCACCCCCUGAUCCCUUCUCUGCCACUUCUCCUCAAGCCUAAACCUUCAGAAACGACUGCUGCCUAAUAAUGAAGGAAGCCAGGGUGAAAGAGAGUAGAAAAGACACUGGGAGAAAAGAAAUGGGUCUGAGAACAUCGAGGCCCCUGGAUCCAGCUGUGCCUGAAACCGGACCUUCUGAACUUGGAAAUUAUUUGAGUCAAUAAAUUGCCUCUUUGUUAA